rnacentral:tRNA from 1 species
GAGGGUAUAGCUCAGUGGUAGAGCACAUGCUUAGCAAGCAGGACAGUCUUGGGUUCAACCACCAGUACCUCCA